AGAGUUUGAUCAUGGCUCAGAUUGAACGCUGGCGGCAGGCUUAACACAUGCAAGUCGAGCGGGGAGAUGUAGCUUGCUACAUUUCCUAGCGGCGGACGGGUGAGUAAUGCUUAGGAAUCUGCCUAUUAGUGGGGGACAACAUUCCGAAAGGAAUGCUAAUACCGCAUACGCCCUACGGGGGAAAGCAGGGGAUCUUCGGACCUUGCGCUAAUAGAUGAGCCUAAGUCAGAUUAGCUAGUUGGUGGGGUAAAGGCCUACCAAGGCGACGAUCUGUAGCGGGUCUGAGAGGAUGAUCCGCCACACUGGGACUGAGACACGGCCCAGACUCCUACGGGAGGCAGCAGUGGGGAAUAUUGGACAAUGGGCGAAAGCCUGAUCCAGCCAUGCCGCGUGUGUGAAGAAGGCCUUUUGGUUGUAAAGCACUUUAAGCGAGGAGGAGGCUACUUAGAUUAAUACUCUAGGAUAGUGGACGUUACUCGCAGAAUAAGCACCGGCUAACUCUGUGCCAGCAGCCGCGGUAAUACAGAGGGUGCGAGCGUUAAUCGGAUUUACUGGGCGUAAAGCGUGCGUAGGCGGCUUUUUAAGUCGGAUGUGAAAUCCCUGAGCUUAACUUAGGAAUUGCAUUCGAUACUGGGAAGCUAGAGUAUGGGAGAGGAUGGUAGAAUUCCAGGUGUAGCGGUGAAAUGCGUAGAGAUCUGGAGGAAUACCGAUGGCGAAGGCAGCCAUCUGGCCUAAUACUGACGCUGAGGUACGAAAGCAUGGGGAGCAAACAGGAUUAGAUACCCUGGUAGUCCAUGCCGUAAACGAUGUCUACUAGCCGUUGGGGCCUUUGAGGCUUUAGUGGCGCAGCUAACGCGAUAAGUAGACCGCCUGGGGAGUWCGGUCGCAAGACUAAAACUCAAAUGAAUGA
rnacentral:rRNA from 1 species